rnacentral:lncRNA from 1 species
UUUACAGCAAUGCUUUGCAUAAAAUAAUUACAUUUUAAAUCAUUUUCGGUUGUGUGGGAAGAGCAGGGUGGAAAAUGGGAUUUUUUUAUUGAUUUCUUUUAAUUAAUCCUCAUCAGAGAUAAGAAAUAACAGCUUUAUUUGGCAUUGGAGACAGCAAAUAAUUCUCCUAAACAGCUCAGCAGGACACACAAACAUCUCCAACCAUGGGACAAUUCCCUGGAAAAUCUCAUUUUGAUUUUAUUUUUAACCAGGAUCUUCCAAAUGAUCAAACUUCCAUGUUUAAAGCCCACCAAAGUGAUGGAACUGGGAUGUUCCUCAUGGAUAAAGGGAUUUAGAGGAGAAACGAUCUCCCAGCUUAAGGAAAACCCUCAAAAGGAACAAAGAUUUUCCACCCUCUGGAAUAACUGGGAUGAGGAAUUACUUCACAAAGACACAAACAGGCAGAAUUCAAAGGGAAAAUAAAGAAGCUCCUUUGUGUGUCCAGAUGUUUCUGCAGCUGCAGAGUCCCAGGAGAUGCUCCUUGUCCUGCUAAAGAAAACAAGGAAUUCAGGACAUAAACCUGGAUCCAGGGAAGAGCUGGUGCUGUGCCUGCUGCCCACGUUUCAUUCUUAGGAGUGGAGCUGGCCUGGAUUUCUCCUGCUCCUCAUGGCAGCUCCCAGAGGUCUCCCACAGCACAGGGAAAAUCUCCAUGGACCUGACAGAGUGGGGACACCACGACAGGAGGUGCUGGAGUGGGAUUAACAACAGGAGAACCUCCUGGAGAUGGGAUUUGUUCACAGGAGGCUGCAGCUCCCAACAAAAUUCCUGAGUGGUUCUGGAAAGCAAAGUCAGGUUCACAGAACAGCUACAAACAAACCCUGAGGAGGUAAAAACAGAGCUCUUGUGCUUUUUGGCUUCUAUCCCUUCCUUUUUCUGCCUCUUUUCCUGGUUCUCAGGUGUUUCUGGGCAUUGUCCAGCAAUUCAUUCCUCACAUCUGUUCAUGCUUCAUCCAUGUUCCUUCCUUUUCCUCUUGCACUCCCUUCCCUUUUUAUAUUUUGCUCCAUUUUCCCCCUCAGUUUCUGAUUCUGCUUCCAGCUGAUUCCCUUUUUUACUCUAUAUUGAUUAUUUUUUUCCCUAGGCUUGCUCUAUCC